AUUUAAAGCUAUACAGAAAAUUAACUGAGGAACGGACUAUGGGGUCGUUGAUCUUCCUUCUCAUCAAACUUGCAUCCCACCAACUUCGGGCCUGCUGCAGCUAAUUAUUCUUGAUACAUUUGUUCACAUUACAGGUGUCAACAAUUUUGGCAUUGCAGAAGACCAUGGAGACAACUUUUUUAUUUCUCCAUCACACAAGGACUGAAGAUACAAAAAUGAGUUUUUCUUUCCUAUGGCCUUGGACUAGCUAUAUACGAUAGUAAUUAGCAAGCAGGCUCUGAAUUACACGAGCCCCUCCCACUGACUCUUGUACUUUUUAGCUAUAAGAACCUAAGCACGAACUUCGCAGAGCUCCAGUGCUUCUGUUUUGAAAAGAGAUAAUAUUUCCUAUGGGAUAGGGUUGUCUGGGGGUACUAAAUGAGAACUACAUACAAAGUACUUAAUGGAAGGUAUGUAGGACUCAAUAGAGGUAGCUAUUAAAUUGUAUGUAAGUAACAAAUCCUGAUAAUGUUCAAUUCUGAAUAAAACUUAGCAAGGUAGUUUUAUUGUCUUUAUUAUUUUUUAUUGAUUAGAAAACUGAUCCUAAAAUAAGUUAAUUAAUUUUGCCAUAGAAAUACCCAUUUAUUGUACAAAUUGGUGAUUUUCGAACCCAGAUCUAUUUUCCACUGUCUUGCAGCAAUGCUGUGCAGAGCUGGGCCUGCCUCAUGCCCUUGGCAUAGCUGUGAGUUACUGUGUAAGCUGUGUUCACCUGCUAAAGAGUUCAUCUUCCAGAAAAAUCAGAGAGAUAUUACGGGCAAAAGCCCAGAAUUCCUUAAGAGUAUAGGAAGAUGCACAAUGAACACUCCCACCCACUAAGAAGGAAGAACAAUUAAAGGCUGAACUAUGGUGAUGCCAUAUUUUUACAUCCGAAGGCACUGCACCACAGGCCCACAAUGAACAUUUAGCUCUCUUAAGUCUCCACAUUCUUUAUUCUGUUUUUGGAAAAGCUUCCUGUUUCUAAUUUGACAAGCCAUCUGCCUUGUUAGCUUUGCUUCCUUUAUCAUUUUUUUUUUACCUUUGAAAAUAAACUCUAGAAGCAGCCCCACGUAAGGCAAAGAAAAAUAAUGAAGAAAAACAUGUGCCAAGGGCUUCACUGACACAACGUUCAUCCCUAGUGUUUUUAAUUUGUCGAUUUGUUUUGCUUGAUUGGAGGUCCACUGAAUAGGAACAUAAUUUCUAUGCUACUGCCUGUAUGCCAAUACAAUCAUUCACUAUUUCUUAAUAUAAAAUUGCAAGAUGGCUUACUUUUAGAAAUACAGCGGGAAAUGUAAUUAAGUAUUGAAAACAGUUUCUCUUUUCCAGUCAAAAGUGUCUGAAUAACUUCUACUUAUAUACUACUCUGUAAUUGCCAAAGCACUUUUAUAUGUAUCGUUAGAUUUAAUCCUCCUAUUUACCUUCUCUGGGAUUAAAUUAGCUUGUAGUUGAGGAUGGGGUGGGGUAGAUUUUGUGAAAGUUCUACAGAUUCUGCUGUGUGUUCUCUUCUUCUUGUUUAAAUAUUGGAAUUUUAGGAAUCUGCACAGGUCUCUUAAUUUAUCACAUAGGCCUCAGGUAAAAAAACUGGUUUAGGCACAGGGUAAAAACAGACUUAACCUGUCCCUUCCAGGUAAACAUUUGUAUUUUAAGUGCAUUUAAUUAUCUCUGAAAUUCCACAUUUGACCUUUUCACCUUCCCCAAAAACUUCUUGGGAAAGAAACCAUUGGUUUGUACUCCUUGAGAAGCCUCAUACAAGUUGCUUAAUAUUUAAAGGUUAAAAAAUAAUUACUUGGGCUCAAAAUUAACAGGUUUUUGCUUGUAUUCCCUGUGAUGUAUGAGCAGAUUACUUUAUUAGAAAAUCAUUAGAGCAUAAUUUGCUUCUACUUGUUGCUGACAUCAAUUUUUAUUUCUUGUAAUUAAAAUACAGGUUCUUAUAAUAUGUCAUUAUUGUAAAUAGCAUGCUGCCAGAUAUUGAUGUGAAAUUGUCAUUAACCCUAACACCUAUGCCUUUUUUUAAAAGUGUGUGAGUUUACCAAGGUUAUGCCACAUUUAGACCCCUUCACCCUACUUAUACACAAAGUGCUCUUUCUACAGACAGCCUGGGAUGGGUCUCACAAUGAAUUUCCAUAAAUAUUUCCUUUUGUGUUGUCUUGCUUUUAUUCUCAAAAGCCAUGAAAACCCAACUGAAUUUGUCUGGAUCAUUGUGAAUGAGUUUCUUACUGAUGUAGGAA
rnacentral:lncRNA from 1 species